UACGUAGGGUGCAAGCGUUAAUCGGAAUUACUGGGCGUAAAGCGUGCGCAGGCGGUUUUGUAAGUCUGUUGUGAAAUCCCCGGGCUCAACCUGGGAAUGGCAAUGGAGACUGCAAGGCUAGAGUUUGGCAGAGGGGGGGUAGAAUUCCACGUGUAGCAGUGAAAAUGCGUAGAUAUGUUGGGAGGAACACCGAUGGACGAAGGCAGCCCCCUGGGUCAAAACUGACGCUCAUGCACGAAAGCGUGGGGAGCAAACAGG
rnacentral:rRNA from 1 species